CUUUACUGUAGCCUGGAAUUGGGUCCGGGCUUCGCUUGCGCAGGAUAGGUGGGAGGCACUGAAACACUCCUUGUGGGGAGUGUGGAGCCAACGGUGAGAUACCACUCUAGCGAGGCUAGGAUUCUAACCUCUGCCCGUUAGCCGGGAGAGGAACAGUUUCAGGCGGGUAGUUUGACUGGGGCGGUCGCCUCCUAAAAGGUAACGGAGGCGCGCAAAGGUUCCCUCCGGCUGGUUGGAAAUCAGCCCGUGAAGUGCAAAGGCAUAAGGGAGCUUGACUGCAAGAGCCACACCUCGAGCAGGGACGAAAGUCGGCCUUAGUGAUCCGACGGCGCUGAGUGGAAGGGCCGUCGCUCAACGGAUAAAAGUUA
rnacentral:rRNA from 1 species